GUCUACAACCAUACCACCCUGAACGCACCUAAUCUCGUCUGAUCUCAGAAGCUAAGCAGGGUUGGACCUGAUUAGUACUCAGAUGGGAGAAAGAGAGAGAGAGACCGGGGUAGGAGGGU
ensembl:rRNA 5S_rRNA 5S ribosomal RNA